GCCCGGAUGGUGAAAUUGGUAGACACAAGGGACUUAAAAUCCCUUGGCCGAAAGGCCGUGGCGGUUCGAAUCCGCCUCCGGGUACCA
rnacentral:tRNA from 2 species